rnacentral:rRNA from 1 species
UACGUAGGGGCCUAGCGUUGUCCGGAUUUAUUGGGCGUAAAGAGCUCGUAGGCGGCUUGGUUAGUCAGGUGUGAAAUCUCCACGCUCAACGUGGAGGGGCCACCUGAUACUGCCAUGGCUUGAGUCCGGUAGGGGAGUGUGGAAUUCCCGGUGUAGCGGUGAAAUGCGCAGAUAUCAGGAAGAACACCCGUGGCGAAGGCGGCUCUCUGGAACGCAACUGACGCUGAGACGCGAAAGCGUGGGGAGCAAACAGG